UACGGAGGGUGCAAGCGUUGUCCGGAAUCACUGGGCGUAAAGGGCGCGUAGGCGGCUCAUGAAGGCUGUGGUGAAAGUCCGGGGCUCAACCUCGGAUCGGCCGUGGCGACUCGUGGGCUGGAGCACUGUAGAGGCGGGUGGAAUUCCGGGUGUAGCGGUGGAAUGCGUAGAGAUCCGGAAGAACACCGGUGGCGAAGGCGGCCUGCUGGGCAGUUUGCUGACACUGAGGCGCGACAGCGUGGGGAGCAAACAGGG
rnacentral:rRNA from 1 species